GCGUGCAGGAAGAAGGCCUUCGGGUUGUAAACUGCUUUUGUACGGAACGAAACGGUUCGGGUUAAUACCCUGGGCUACUGACGGUACCGUAAGAAUAAGCACCGGCUAACUACGUGCCAGCAGCCGCGGUAAUACGUAGGGUGCAAGCGUUAAUCGGAAUUACUGGGCGUAAAGCGUGCGCAGGCGGUUUUGUAAGACAGGCGUGAAAUCCCCGGGCUCAACCUGGGAAUGGCGCUUGUGACUGCAAAGCUGGAGUGCGGCAGAGGGGGAUGGAAUUCCGCGUGUAGCAGUGAAAUGCGU
rnacentral:rRNA from 1 species